rnacentral:misc_RNA from 1 species
GAUGAAGAACGUAGCGAAAUGCGAUACGUAAUGUGAAUUGCAGAAUUCAGUGAAUCAUCGAAUCUUUGAACGCAUAUUGCGCUCUUUGGUAUUCCGAAGAGCAUGCUUGUUUGAGUAUCAGUAAACACCUCAAAGCUUUUGGAUUUUUUAAUCGAAAAGCUUUGGACUUGAGCAAUCCCAACACCACUCUUUUUGAGAUCGGUGGCGGGUUGCUUGAAAUGCAGGUGCAGCUGGACAUUCUCCUGAGCUAAAAGCAUAUUCAUUUAGUCCCGUCAAACGGAUUAUUACUUUUGCUGCAGCUAACAUAAAGGGAGUUUGACCGUAUUGGCUGACUGAUGCAGGAUUUCACAAGGGUCGGCAACGAUUCUUGUUAAACUCGAUCUCAAAUCAAGUAAGACUACCCGCUGAACUUAAGCAUAUCAAUAGCGGAGGA